UGGGAUUUCUUUGAGGACUCCUGUCUGC
rnacentral:piRNA from 1 species